rnacentral:rRNA from 1 species
GAUGAACGCUAGCUACAGGCUUAACACAUGCAAGUCGAGGGGAAACGACAUUGAAAGCUUGCUUUUGAUGGGCGUCGACCGGCGCACGGGUGAGUAACGCGUAUCCAACCUGCCCACCACUUGGGAAUAACCUUGCGAAAGUAAGACUAAUACCCAAUGACGUCUCUAGAAGACAUCUGAAAGAGAUUAAAGAUUUAUCGGUGAUGGAUGGGGAUGCGUCUGAUUAGCUUGUUGGCGGGGUAACGGCCCACCAAGGCAACGAUCAGUAGGGGUUCUGAGAGGAAGGUCCCCCACAUUGGAACUGAGACACGGUCCAAACUCCUACGGGAGGCAGCAGUGAGGAAUAUUGGUCAAUGGGCGAGAGCCUGAACCAGCCAAGUAGCGUGCAGGAUGACGGCCCUAUGGGUUGUAAACUGCUUUUAUAAGGGAAUAAAGUGAGUCUCGUGAGACUUUUUGCAUGUACCUUAUGAAUAAGGACCGGCUAAUUCCGUG